AGCGAACGCUGGCGGCAGGCCUAACACAUGCAAGUCGAGCGCCCAGCAAUGGGAGCGGCAGACGGGAUAGUAACACGUGGGAACGUACCCUUCAGUUCGGAACAACCCAGGGAAACUUGGGCUAAUACCGAAUACGUCCGUAAGGAGAAAGAUUUAUCGCUGAAGGAUCGGCCCGCGUCUGAUUAGCUAGUUGGUGAGGUAACGGCUCACCAAGGCGACGAUCAGUAGCUGGCUGAGAGG
rnacentral:rRNA from 1 species